rnacentral:rRNA from 1 species
UACGUAGGGCGCGAGCGUUGUCCGGAAUUAUUGGGCGUAAAGAGCUCGUAGGCGGCCUGUUGCGUCCGCUGUGAAAUCCCAGGGCUCAACCCUGGGCGUGCAGUGGAUACGGGCAGGCUGGAGGCAGGCAGGGGAGAACGGAAUUCCCGGUGUAGCGGUGAAAUGCGCAGAUAUCGGAAGGAACACCAGUGGCGAAAGCGGCUUCCUGGUCCAGCACCGACGUUCAGGCACGAAAGCGUGGGGAGCAAACAGG